UACAGAGGUCUCAAGCGUUGUUCGGAUUCAUUGGGCGUAAAGGGUGCGUAGGCGGCGCGGUAAGUCGGGUGUGAAAUCUCGGAGCUUAACUCCGAAACUGCAUUCGAUACUGCCGUGCUUGAGGACUGGAGAGGAGACUGGAAUUUACGGUGUAGCGGUGAAAUGCGUAGAUAUCGUAAGGAAGACCAGUGGCGAAGGCGGGUCUCUGGACAGUUCCUGACGCUGAGGCACGAAAGCGGGUGGGAGCAAACGGGAUUAGAACCUACGU
rnacentral:rRNA from 1 species